GUGUUGGUGUAGCUUAAUCAUUUACGUGUGGUAGUCGUUAGUUUCUUGCCUUUAUUUGUGGAGAAUCGAUAUUUUAAGUAAAAAAUUGAACCUUGUGAGGAUAAGUAAAAUAAUGAAAGUUUAUUAUUGGGUUAUAGUUAAGUUUGUACUGGGUAGGAUAGUUAUUUAAAUCGAUAUAAAGAAAAUCUUAAGAUUUGUACCUUUUGUAUCAGGGACAAUCAAAAUGCUUAAUUUAUUAAUUAAGAUCUCGAAGCGGAAUGAGCGAGCAAGCUAUAAAUGUUUAUGUGGAAUAAUGAAAUUAUUAAUAGCUUGUUAGUGAUGAAACGUCAAUCGACUUCUGUAUAUCUAGUUUUUCUUGAAAAAAAUUUAAUUUGACCUCCUAUCAAAACCGGUGGGAGUUGGAGUUUAAGAGGGAAGAGCUUCUUAAAACUAAGACAUAGCAAGUAAAAUUAUAUUCUCUUCUAUUUAGGCUUAAGAUCAGCCAUUUUUUUAAACCGUUCUAGAUAAUAAGGACUUGAAUAUUUAUUUGUAUUUUGUUUGUUAUAGGGUAGAGAAAAAUUGAUUUUAACUUGUUUUGUUAUGUUAUAAUGUUUGUAUUAGUAAAUUAAUUUGUGAGUUGGUUAUUUUAAUUCUGUAUUAAAAUUUUUUGAUUUAUAGUUGAUGAGUUAAAGAAUUCGGCAAAUAUUACUUCUGCCUGUUUAUCAAAAACAUGUCUGUGCGAUAGGUUGAUGUGCAGUCUGGCCUGCCCCCUGAGAGUUUUAAAGGGCCGCGGUAUUUGGACCGUGCUAAGGUAGCAUAAUAAAUAGUCUCUUAAUUGGAGUCUGGAAUGAAUGGUCGGACAUGAAGUAAGCUGUUUUAAUUUUUACGUUUGAAUUUUACUUUUAAGUGAAAAGGCUUAAAUUAUAUGGUGGGACGAUAAGACCCUAUAAAGCUUUACGUUUUAUUCUUCAGUUGUGGGAGUUCAGGUUUCUUGUUCUUAUUGAGUAGAGCGUUUCGUUGGGGCGACGGGAAUAUAAAUAAGUAACUGUUUUUAUUUGAAAAAUACAUUUUUAUAGGUGAAUUGAUCCUUUUUAGAGAUUAUAAGAUUUAAGUUACUUUAGGGAUAACAGCGUAAUUUAUCUUGAGAGUUCAUAUCGACAGAUGUAGUUGCGACCUCGAUGUUGAAUUAAAAUGUCCCUAAGAUGUAGCAGUUUUAGCGGUGGGUCUGUUCGACCUUUAAAAUUUUACAUGAUUUGAGUUCAGACCGGCGUAAGCCAGGUUAGUUUCUAUCUUUCAUUUUAUAUUAUGGUUAUUUUAGUACGAAAGGAGAGAGUAGCCGAAAAAGUUUUUUUAGCAGAUGAUCGGUA
rnacentral:rRNA from 1 species